rnacentral:rRNA from 1 species
AGCAGCCGCGGUAAUUCCAGCUCCAAUAGCGUAUAUUAAAGUUGCUGCAGUUAAAAAGCUCGUAGUUGAAUUUCGGGACCAUCAUGUCGGUCGUGCCUCGGUACGUACUGGCAUCGUUGGUUUCUCCCUUCUGACGAACCAUGAUGUCAUUAAUUUGGUGUCAUGGGGAAUCAGGACUGUUACUUUGAAAAAAUUAGAGUGUUUAAAGCAGGCUCACGCUUGAAUACAUUAGCAUGGAAUAAUGAAAUAGGACGUUUGAUUCUAUUUUGUUGGUUUCUAGGAUCGACGUAAUGAUUAAUAGGGGUAGUUGGGGGCAUUAGUAUUCAAUUGUCAGAGGUGAAAUUCUUGGAUUUAUUGAAGACUAACUACUGCGAAAGCAUUUGCCAAGGAUGUUUUCAUUAAUCAAGAACGAAAGUUAGGGGAUCGAAGACGAUCAGAUACCGUCGUAGU